GCCUCCUCUGCGAGCCCAGCUCUGGGAAACCGCUUCCACGGCGGGCUCUGGCUCUGGGGGCUGGCGCAUCCCAGGGCGAGAUCUCUGGGUGGAUGCAGAGGAAGACGCAGAGGAGACAGGCUGUCUCGGGGCUCUGAAAAAUGUCUUCCUGGAAUUUUCCUGAACUUUUCAAAAUAUAACGCCAACAUUUUCAGAGCAUCUUUCAACAUGCCAGGCAUUAUGUUAGGGACCUGGAUUCAAAUGAAAAUAUUGUCGCGUCUCUGCCUUCAAGGGGACAACAGUAUCACGGAGAGGGGCGAGGGGGAAUUGACAUAAAAACGCAACUGCAGAUCCAUGCCAGAGCACAGGGGGGAACAAAGGGCCGUAGGAGCAGACGGCAGGGCAGGGUGGUCCUCAGACUGCCUAUGAAAUCACAGAGCCACAGCGGAAUUCUAGAAAGAAGGGUGCCACGAAGUGCCUGCCAACCAUGAGGGUGAAGGAGAUUUGAUUCUGAAGAAGCUAAAGGUGACCACUCAUGCCCUGGCCCCAGUUCUCAGCAUUUUAGUGUCACGGAUGUCGUGACAUUGUACAGGAUGGCAUCGAUCUGUGCCCUGGCCCCAGUUCUCAGCAUUUUAGUGUCACGGAUGUCGUGACAUUGUACAGGAUGGCAUCGAUCUGUGCCCUGGCCCCAGUUCUCAGCAUUUUAGUGUCACGGAUGUCAUGACAUUGUACAGGAUGGCAUUGAUCUGUGUGUAUUGUCAGAAGAGCGCCAGCCCUCAGGCCAGCGUAGGUGCCUGAGUGACACCUGGUACUCUGCAGCUGCCCUUGGCAUUGGCUGUGAUUGGACUCUGGGGUCAAAUAUGCAGGACAUCUCCCUGAGUCCAGAAAUGCUAACUUUUUAUUGAGUCCUGCCAAUGAUGCUAAACCCUGAUUUUAAAAUUCAAAUCAGACCAAGAAACGUUUAUAUAGAAAGCAAGCUUCUGUGCCUCUGAAAUCCUUAAGAGGAGGAAGAAAAUGAUAAUGAGCAGAACGUCUAGCACAAGAAAAACGCUUACUCUGGUUCACGGUAUUGCUGGAGGAGCUGAAUGUCAAAGUGACAGUCAUCGGCUCUAGAAUCCCUACCUGUACGUGGAGAAAACUAAAAGGGAUGAAGAUAAAUCAUCAACGCUUUAUUUGAGCAGUUGAGCAUAUUGGAAAGGCUUUUUCCAUAGUUGUGAACAAUUUACACAAAUAUAUACGUUGCCACAAUACCAGCAUGGAGGCACUCUGAUUUUCAAGAUCACAUUGUUGAGAAAUAUGUAACAAUAUUUCAUUUUCAUUUUUCAGUAAUAGCUUAUUGUUCAUUUUGGUGGAGUGUUUCUCACGUUUUAAAAAACUAUUUUAAAAAUAUUAUCUAGCAACAAGGUCAUUGUGAAGUGAGAAUAUGUGUUUAAUAUCACUACUUUUAUAAAUGUACGUUCCUGAUUUUUGUCAUGUUUAUACAUUUUGCAUUUUAAGUGUGUUUCUUUUCUUUUUUUAUUGUUAUGGAUUCUGAACACUAGUUUUAAAAUGCCAGUAUUAAUACUGGAUUGACAUAUGAUGGGAAAAAGCGCUCACACACUCUUUUACGAUUUUGCUCCAGCAGCACUGUCACUCUUGGCACAGAGAAUGACAAGAGUUCCUCCCAACUUGGAUCACACUCAGCACAGGUAACCACACCGGGACUGGCUUGAUCCAGCCCGGGCCUCGUAAGAAACGGAGCAGCCAUGCGGCAGUGCACGGCCAGGUGCCAGGAGCUCAGGCCGUUCCGGAAGCGCCCAAAGACAUAGGAGGGCGGUCCCUGGGUUCGGAGCCCAGGGGACACCACUUGCCCACGUUGGCUCACAGCUUCCUUUCCUGGUAGGACAGAAAACAGGUACUGAUCGACCCUGAAAAGAGAAAAAGUACAGGGAGAACAAUUGUCCUGAGAAGUACUGGGGACAUACUGAGUAUAGGCUGCAGGAGUGAGGAUGCCGGCCGAGUCCUGAGCCAGCGCUGACCCCCUGUGACCUCGGCCAGCUGACUUCAUCUCAUCCAGUUUCUCCUCCAUCGCCAUCGACCCCCCUCACGUCCCACCAUCCUCCCCUUUUCCCAGUUUAAGGGGAGUUCUGUUUAACAGAGGAUCUCCCCCUCAGUCACUCUCCGACUCGAUUUUGCUACGGAAAAUUCCAGUAAUGGACAAAAGUGGGAGAAGGAAGGGGAAGCCGCAGUCAGGGAGCCUGAGCCAGCCUCAGUGAUAAAGCCGUGCGGCGAGGACAGAGAAGGGGAGACAGCAGCAUGCCGCUCAGGGCCGAGGAAAGAGCCGGAGGUUGAGAAGUGAGUGACUCUGGAAUAGCUGUGGGAUAUAGGAUUGCAGGAAAGAGGAGAUAGAGGAUGUCCUGGGUUGAGCAGCGCCCCCCAAAUUCCCAUCCUCCCUGGAACCUCAGAAUAUGACCUUAUUUGGGAAUUGGGUCAUUGCAGACGGAAUUAUUAAAGGUAAGCUGAGGUCCUACUGGAGCAGGGCUGGCCUUUAGUCCGAUAUGACUGGGGUCCCUAUAAGAGGUCAGAGACAGAAGGCAGAGAUUUGAGACAUGCAUUUACAAGUCAGGGAAGGCCAAAGAUUGCUGCCCAUCACCAGACGCUGGGAGGAGGCAGGACGGCAUUCUCCUCUGGGGUCUUAGGAGGGAGCCAGGAUCUGCCCACACCUUGACGUGGGGCUUCUAGCCUCCGGAACUGUGGAGACAAUAAAUGUCUGUCGUUCUGACCGGUUUGUGGCA
rnacentral:lncRNA from 1 species